AGGGGGCAGGGCUACUAGAGAGGAGGAGGUGGCACCAUGGAGGAGGCCAGGAGUCUUCAACCGCAGGAAAUGGAGGGAGGCGGUACAGUGGGAGGAGAAAAGGUGGCCGGCCCGUCUGUGGUACAGCAUGGGAGAGCCGAGAUGGUUGCUUAGACACUGCUUUGCUCCGCUCUGCCAUAUGAUGUCACGGGUUGGCAGCGCGACGCCCGCAGCAGUAUCCUGAGUGAGCAGAGAGCUUGGCCGGAGGUUACCAUGGAAGCUGGUCGCUGGCAUUGCUUGAUGACGUCACCGGAGGGCGACAUGGGAGCGCUGCUGGGCGUAUGUAUGGUCAGAAUGGCGCCGUGGAGCAGUCUUUUAAAGUGAAUCCACUGACUCUACACUAAACUGUGAAAAGUCAUCAUCCGCUAUCGAGAAGCCCCCUGCAAAUGAAGCAUGAGGAGAAGGCACAAUAAGAACAUGUUGAUCCUGUCCAGAGGUGACGUCGCAGUGUAAAGUGGCGCACAGUUACCCUCCCUUGACUCUACUAUUUGCGAAACUCAUACAGAGAGAAGCACAAUCUGCAUGAAAAUUGUAUUCAACCGCUGGAAACCAUCAACCAAAUUAUUACAUUUGCUACAAUUUGAAAACUGGCUCAAACUAUCAAAAGACAAAUGUAGCAGAAAAUCAAAAGAAUGCAUUUAUAAAUUCUGCCUUUCAAAAAAUGGCAACACAGAACAACAGCUGUCACUUGUAUCUGACUUGUAAUAUUGGGGGGGAAAUAAAAUAUUAUUUCUGUGUGAGCUGCUUAGGAAACAAUAUUUGGAACAAACUCAAUAUUCUUAGCAUUACAGAAGUUCAGCAUGGUGAAGCAGUAUUAUUAACCCAUUAAUACAGUAAACUGUCCAAACUAUUCUUCAUUUUUGCUUCCAAACCACAAUGAUUUUGUGUAUAUAAAACUACCACUAAUAUAACAAAUUAUGGGGCAGCUGUAUUAAACCUGGAGAAGUGAUAAAGCAGUGAUAAAUGCAAGGUGAUAAUGCACCAGCCAA